CAGAUAGAAAAAUGGGUAUGACUGGAGAAGGAAUCCCCGCGGAAUUUCGGCACCCCUUUUGUCUUAUAACCCUGGUUGAGGGCUUCUGCGUUCGGUGGUGGGGGUCCCAUGCGUGGGAGGGGCCGCGUUUUCAUGUUGUGGGGCCCCGGAGUUGGGGCUCGGAGUCGCGUUUUUUGCGAUUUUCUGCGGGACUUUUAGAGAUGAUAGGAUGCUUUAAACGAUUAUGGACUUGUGUUAUCAUUCCGAAUCGAAUGCGGUCAAUUUGAGUAGGCUGCGGCUUGCCUUUACGAUGUAACGUGGUUUUUUCCACAUACGGCGGUUUGUCUGUUCCGA
rnacentral:lncRNA from 1 species